AAAUUGAAGAGUUUGAUCAUGGCUCAGAUUGAACGCUGGCGGCAGGCCUAACACAUGCAAGUCGAACGGUAACAGGAAGCAGCUUGCUGCUUUGCUGACGAGUGGCGGACGGGUGAGUAAUGUCUGGGAAACUGCCUGAUGGAGGGGGAUAACUACUGGAAACGGUGGCUAAUACCGCAUAACGUCGCAAGACCAAAGAGGGGGACCUUCGGGCCUCUUGCCAUCAGAUGUGCCCAGAUGGGAUUAGCUUGUUGGUGAGGUAACGGCUCACCAAGGCGACGAUCCCUAGCUGGUCUGAGAGGAUGACCAGCCACACUGGAACUGAGACACGGUCCAGACUCCUACGGGAGGCAGCAGUGGGGAAUAUUGCACAAUGGGCGCAAGCCUGAUGCAGCCAUGCCGCGUGUAUGAAGAAGGCCUUCGGGUUGUAAAGUACUUUCAGCGGGGAGGAAGGUGUUGUGGUUAAUAACCGCAGCAAUUGACGUUACCCGCAGAAGAAGCACCGGCUAACUCCGUGCCAGCAGCCGCGGUAAUACGGAGGGUGCAAGCGUUAAUCGGAAUUACUGGGCGUAAAGCGCACGCAGGCGGUCUGUCAAGUCGGAUGUGAAAUCCCCGGGCUCAACCUGGGAACUGCAUUCGAAACUGGCAGGCUUGAGUCUUGUAGAGGGGGGUAGAAUUCCAGGUGUAGCGGUGAAAUGCGUAGAGAUCUGGAGGAAUACCGGUGGCGAAGGCGGCCCCCUGGACAAAGACUGACGCUCAGGUGCGAAAGCGUGGGGAGCAAACAGGAUUAGAUACCCUGGUAGUCCACGCCGUAAACGAUGUCUACUUGGAGGUUGUGCCCUUGAGGCGUGGCUUCCGGAGCUAACGCGUUAAGUAGACCGCCUGGGGAGUACGGCCGCAAGGUUAAAACUCAAAUGAAUUGACGGGGGCCCGCACAAGCGGUGGAGCAUGUGGUUUAAUUCGAUGCAACGCGAAGAACCUUACCUGGUCUUGACAUCCACAGAACUUUCCAGAGAUGGAUUGGUGCCUUCGGGAACUGUGAGACAGGUGCUGCAUGGCUGUCGU
rnacentral:rRNA from 1 species